rnacentral:rRNA from 1 species
AUGGGCGACUUCGACUGUGGCGCCAUCGACUGCGGCGACUGUGGCGACUGCGAUUGUGGCGACUGUUGCGAUGAGUGCUUCGACUGUGGCGACAUCGACUGCGGCUACUGCUGCGUCUGCUUCUCUGAUGCCAUCAGCGGCAAGGCACUCCUCCGCAUCCUCUGUGGUCUCGUGAUCUUGGCCGUCCUCGCCGCCGUGGUCACGCUGCUUGUCAUCGCCCUCGUCCCCCGCCGCAUCGGCGUCAGCGUGGAGGACGCGGCCCUCGCCCGCUUCGCCCUCGCCGACAAGAACGCCACGGCCACGGCGCUCGCCUACGACAUCUCCAUCGCCGUGGCCGUGCACAACGGGAACUGGUUGAUGCCCGCUGAGCACACCGCGCCGUUCUACACGGAGCUGCUCUUCGACGGCGCCCGCUUCGCCCGCGUCGGGCUGGCGACCGCAGGGGCCGUGGUCCGACCGCGGCGCAGGGAAGUGUACCACGCCACGGCGGCGGCCGACAGCGCAAGGGUCGCGCUGGGGAGCGCAGCGGUGGCGGAGUUCACCAGGGAGAGCACGGCGGGGGUUUUCCAGUUGGAACUCAGGGCUCUCGGGGAAGUCAGGUACCGGCCGCACCACAAGCUGCACAGGCUGGACGCGAUCUGCCGGCUAGAGUUGGCUCUCUCAACGGCAACGUCGCCGGCGAUGUUCAGAAAGGUAAAGUGCGAUGUUCAGAAAGAUCAUGGUGGCGGAUGA